rnacentral:misc_RNA from 1 species
GCAGCAAUAGCUCAAAUUUGAAAUCUGGCGUCUUCGACGUCCGAGUUGUAAUUUGUAGAGGAUGCUUCUGAGUAACCACCGACCUAAGUUCCUUGGAACAGGACGUCAUAGAGGGUGAGAAUCCCGUAUGCGGUCGGAAAGGUGCUCUAUACGUAGCUCCUUCGACGAGUCGAGUUGUUUGGGAAUGCAGCUCUAAAUGGGAGGUAAAUUUCUUCUAAAGCUAAAUAUUGGCCAGAGACCGAUAGCGCACAAGUAGAGUGAUCGAAAGAUGAAAAGCACUUUGGAAAGAGAGUUAAAAAGCACGUGAAAUUGUUAAAAGGGAAGGGAUUGCAACCAGACUUGCUCGCGGUGUUCCGCCGGUCUUCUGACCGGUCUACUCGCCGCGUUGCAGGCCAGCAUCGUCUGGUGCCGCUGGAUAAGACUUGAGGAAUGUAGCUCCCUCGGGAGUGUUAUAGCCUCUUGUGAUGCAGCGAGCGCCGGGCGAGGUCCGCGCUUCGGCUAGGAUGCUGGCGUAAUGGUCGUAAUCCGCCCGUCUUGAAACACGGACCAAGGAGUCUAACAUCUAUGCGAGUGUUCGGGUGUCAAACCCCUACGCGUAAUGAAAGUGAACGGAGGUGAGAACCGCAAGGUGCAUCAUCGACCGAUCCUGAUGUCUUCGGAUGGAUUUGAGUAAGAGCAUAGCUGUUGGGACCCGAAAGAUGGUGAACUAUGCCUGAAUAGGGUGAAGCCAGAGGAAACUCUGGUGGAGGCUCGCAGCGGUUCUGACGUGCAAAUCGAUCGUCAAAUUUGGGUAUAGGGGCGAAAGACUAAUCGA